GCGCAGAUGGCGGAAUUGGUAGACGCGUUAGGUUUAGGUUCUAGUGAAUUUAUUCGUGCAGGUUCAAGUCCUGUUCUGCGUA
rfam:Monoraphidium neglectum strain SAG 48.87 mitochondrion, whole genome shotgun sequence.